UACGUAGGGGGCUAGCAUUGUCCGGAAUCAUUGGGCGUAAAGCGCGCGUAGGCGGCCCGGUAAGUCCGCUCUGAAAGUCCAGGGCUCAACCCUGGAAAGCGGGUGGAUACUGCCGGGCUAGAGUCCGGAAGAGGCGAGUGGAAUUCCUGGUGUAGCGGUGAAAUGCGCAGAUAUCAGGAGGAACACCGAUUGCGAAGGCAGCUCGCUGGGACGUUACUGACGCUGAGACGCGAAAGCGUGGGGAGCGAACAGG
rnacentral:rRNA from 1 species